UCGUUCAUCGGCGUAGAGUGAGUCGGCCCCUAAGACGAGGCAGAGAUGCGUAGUUGAUGGGAAACAGGUCAAUAUUCCUGUACCGAUGUGUAGUGCGAUGUGGGGACGGAGAAGGUUAACUCAGCCAACUGUUGGAUAUGUUGGUUCAAGCUUGUAGUCGUGCCUGGUAGGUAAAUCCGCCGGGCUUAGAUGAGGAGUGAUAACGAGGCUGCUUGCAGCCGAAGUGAGUGAUACCCUGCUUCCAGGAAAAGCCACUAAGCUUCAGCUACACACGACCGUACCGCAAACCGACACUGGUGCGCGAGAUGAGUAUUCUAAGGCGCUUGAGAGAACUCAGGAGAAGGAACUCGGCAAAUUGACACCGUAACUUCGGAAGAAGGUGUGCCUUUAGUAGGUGAAGGGAUUUACUCCUGGAGCCCAAUGAGGUUGCAAAAAAUCGGUGGCUGCGACUGUUUAUUAAAAACACAGCACUCUGCAAACACGAAAGUGGACGUAUAGGGUGUGACGCCUGCCCGGUGCUGGAAGAUUAAAUGAUGGGGUGCAAGCUCUUGAUUGAAGUCCCAGUAAACGGCGGCCGUAACAAUAACGGUCCUAAGGUAGCGAAAUUCCUUGUCGGGUAAGUCCCGACCUGCACGAAUGGCGUAACGAUGGCCACACUGUCUCCUCCUGAGACUCAGCGAAGUUGAAAUGUUUGUGAUGAUGCAAUCUCCCCGCGGAAAGACGGAAAGACCCCAUGAACCUUUACUGUAGCUUUGUAUUGGACUUUGAACAGAUCUGUGUAGGAUAGGUGGGAGGCUUUGAAGUAGGGUCGCUAGAUCUUAUGGAGCCAACGUUGAAAUACCACCCUGGUGUGUUUGAGGUUCUAACCUAGGUCCAUUAUCUGGAUCGGGGACAGUGCAUGGUAGGCAGUUUGACUGGGGCGGUCUCCUCCCAAAGCGUAACGGAGGAGUUCGAAGGUACGCUAGUUACGGUCGGACAUCGUGACGAUAGUGCAAUGGCAUAAGCGUGCUUAACUGCGAGACUGACAAGUCGAGCAGAUGCGAAAGCAGGACAUAGUGAUCCGGUGGUUCUGUAUGGAAGGGCCAUCGCUCAACGGAUAAAAGGUACUCUGGGGAUAACAGGCUGAUACCGCCCAAGAGUUCAUAUCGACGGCGGUGUUUGGCACCUCGAUGUCGGCUCAUCUCAUCCUGGGGCUGUAGCCGGUCCCAAGGGUAUGGCUGUUCGCCAUUUAAAGAGGUACGUGAGCUGGGUUUAAAACGUCGUGAGACAGUUUGGUCCCUAUCUUCCGUGGGCGCUGCAGAUUUGAGGAAGCCUGCUCCUAGUACUAGAGGACCGGAGUGGACACACCUCUGGUGUAUCGGUUGUCACGCCAGUGGCAUUGCCGAGUAGCUAAGUGUGGAAGAGAUAACCGCUGAAAGCAUCUAAGCGGGAAACUCGUUUCAAGAUGAGAUCUGCCGGGGCCUUGAGCCCCCUAAAGAGUCGUUCAAGACCAGGAC
rnacentral:rRNA from 1 species